GAUGAACGCUAGCGACAGGCCUAACACAUGCAAGUCGAGGGGCAGCACAUGAGUAGCAAUACGAUGGUGGCGACCGGCGCACGGGUGAGUAACGCGUAUGCAACCUACCCAUUACAGGGGAAUAACUCUCGGAAACGGGAACUAAUACCGCAUAAUACUAUUAGACCCAUGGUUUAAUAGUUAAAGAUUUAUUGGUAAUGGAUGGGCAUGCGUGACAUUAGUUAGUUGGUAGGGUAACGGCCUACCAAGACUACGAUGUCUAGGGGUUCUGAGAGGAAGGUCCCCCACACUGGUACUGAGACACGGACCAGACUCCUACGGGAGGCAGCAGUGAGGAAUAUUGGUCAAUGGGCGAGAGCCUGAACCAGCCAAGUCGCGUGCAGGAUGACUGCCUUAUGGGUUGUAAACUGCUUUUAUAAAGGAAUAACAACUCUCACGUGUGAGAGGAUGAAUGUACUUUAGGAAUAAGGAUCGGCUAACUCCGUGCCAGCCGCCGCCGUAAGAC
rnacentral:rRNA from 1 species